rnacentral:rRNA from 1 species
AUUGAACGCUGGCGGCAGGCCUAACACAUGCAAGUCGAACGAGUGGCGGACGGGUGAGUAAUGUCUGGGAAACUGCCUGAUGGAGGGGGAUAACUACUGGAAACGGUAGCUACUACCGCAUACCAUCAGAUGUGCCCAGAUGGGAUUAGCUAGUGGGUGGGGUAACGGCUCACCAAGGCGACGAUCCCUAGCUGGUCUGAGAGGAUGACCAUCCACACUGGAACUGAGAAACGGGCCAGACUCCUACGGGAGGCAGCAGUGGGGAAUAUUGCACAAUGGGCGAAAGCCGGAUGCAGCCAUGCCGCGUGUAUGAAGAAGGCCUUCGGGUUGUAAAGUACUUUCAGCGGGGAGGCGUUACCCGCAGAAGAAGCACCGGCUAACUCCGUGCCAGCAGCCGCGGUAAUAC